rnacentral:sRNA from 1 species
UUUUACUCAUCAAAACCGCCGUAAUCAUACUGCAAGUUUCUUGGAUCCUAGAUCAUCAUUUACGUAGAUUGUAUUGAAGGCUUCAGUAUUUACAAGUCUUUUCAUUUAGUAAGACUUUCAGCUAAAAGCAAAAAUGGAUCCGAAAGAUACAGCCAAUCGUACUAAUCAGUGUAAUCCGACUCAUACGCCAAGCGGACCUGGUCACAAGACUGGGUACUCAGGGACGGGUGAUAAAGCGGAUUUGGACAAUCAUGCAAAGCAAUUGAAUCCAAACAAUCCCUUAUAUAAAAAGUAAUAUGUAUUCAUGUCUUACAGAGUUGGCGUUGUAUUUAUAAUGUAUACGCCUGAAUAAUUGUAUUAUGACGUCUGAGUAUAAUAUAAAAGACAGUUUAAUAUUAUAAAA